rnacentral:rRNA from 1 species
UACGAAGGGUGCAAGCGUUAAUCGGAAUUACUGGGCGUAAAGCGUGCGUAGGCGGUUUCUUAAGUCCGUUGUGAAAGCCCUGGGCUCAACCUGGGAACUGCGAUGGAUACUGAGGAGCUGGAGUACGGUAGAGGAAGGUGGAAUUCCCGGUGUAGCGGUGGAAUGCGCAGAUAUCAGGAGGAACACAAUAGCGAAGGCAGCUCGCUGGACGUUACUGACACUGAGGCGCGAAAGCGUGGGAGCGAACAGG